AAGUCGUAACAAGGUUUCCGCAGGUGAACCUGCGGAAGGAUCAUUAUAGUAUAUCUAUAUCUAGGAUGGGGAUGCUCUCGGGCCCCCCCACCGCCAAACCUUGUAAAUCUAAACUUAAUAGUUACCUUGGUAGGCUUAACUGCCUGUGGAUAAAACUAAAUUCUUUAAUAAACUGCCUGAAUUUAAUGUAAAUGUCUGAAUUAAUAUUAAAUAUUAAAA
rnacentral:misc_RNA from 1 species